UUUUUUUUUUUUUUUUUUUUUUUUCUUUUUUUGUGUUUGUGUUGUUUGUUUUGAGUUGUGUUUUUCUCGGAAACAAAGAGGGGUAAGAAG
rnacentral:ribozyme from 12 species